UUGAUUAAAUCUUGAUCUGCGUGUUUUAAAACUGUUGACCUCACACCAGUGCAUGUCGUCAGAAGUAGUCUAUGCUGAGUCGAACUUGCGGUAAAUCGGCUGUACCAACAGCAUUUCUCGGCACGUACAGUACUGUUGAACGGAGAUUUUUACGUUUAUCAUUGCUAACACUUCUGUCGUGGAUUUAUGCCUGUGCGAUUUCUUUCAAGACACCACGUGUAAAUAUAGCAUUUUCCUCCCAGCAGGAUUGAAAGGCUCAAUAGAAAUGGCACUCAUGAAUCUGGGUGUUAAGGCUCUACUUGGCUGGAUAAGUAAUCUCACGUUGCCCCACCGAGAGAUAAAAAACAUCGAAGAGUUACAGAAUGGGGAGUUGCUGCUUCAUGUUGUUUAUAAAAUGAAAAAGGAACAACCUCCUUCAAUAACAUCACCGAGAGAACGUUUUAAAUUCAUUGCAGAAUUUGUGGAGAAGGUUUGCAGAUUCAGCGCAACCCAAAGUUGUUCAUUAUCCUGGGACAACAUAAAUAAUGGAAUCAACUUGACUUUGGAAAUAGCAAAGGUGUUGUUGUUG